GUAACCGAGUUGCCUCAAGUAGGGCCGGCUGAGUCGACGGAUCCAAAUCCCGAGUCAACUCAACUCACCGGUGUAACUAUUCCGGAUCGGUUUGUCGUUAGUCGGCCGUCGUCCAUCCCCAUCAAUAGCCAAAUCCCAUCCUAAAUUUCUCUCUAAAUCACAAAGAGAGAGAAGCAAGACCAAACCCAAAACUCCCAGCACCUCUUUCCUUAAUUUCUCCCUUCUACCAUGAAAAUCUGAACAAAAUUUUCUCUCUAUCAGCAAAGCUCCUCUUUCCCCAUUCAAGCCAGUUUUCCGGCGGCCGGUGCCUCUUCUCGCCCCCGUCAAGGUCUAUAAAUGUUUUGCGGUGAAGUCAAAGCUCGAUACGUCGCUGAAGCAGCAAAUGCAUGAAGUCCACUCCUGAGGUUGGGAAACUAACGAGCUAUGCAUCUAGAAGAAAGAGAUGGGAUCGGAGCAUUUUGGUUUAGGUUAUAUCAAGAGACAGGCUGCUUCUAAAAGAGACUCAGUAACUUUUGGAGAGAACAUUGUUGGAACAUUGGUGGACGUUCCUUUCCUUGCUGGACAGUGUCCGCCAUCAAAGAGCUAGAAUCCUCGUCUUCACUUCUCCUGCAGUGGUCAAAAGAUAUGGAAGGGAAGUGGCGGACUACACUCCUCCACAGGGUUCGAUGGAGAUAUGCUACGCCGACAUGCAGGUGACAAAUGAGCGAUGAAGACUUUGCUUAGCUUCUGAAUGGCAUGAUAAGAUUGAGGUUCUAAAGUUUUUUGUAUCUGUGUAGAGCCAUAAUCAGACCUUGUGAAAUAUUAGAAAGAGUUGAAGAUUCUAAAAUAUUUGAGAGGUUUUAGAUAUGCGUAGGGAAGAUUCUAAAAGUGCCGGAGUUUUGUAUUGUUGUAAAUGUGUGAAUAUUUAUCUGGAGAGUUCUAGACAGUCUGCAUGGUGUCUAUAAAUAAGGUGAGGGUCACAAGCUACAAGAGCAACCAAUUAAAAGCCGGAAUAGAAGUAUUCUGGCAGCAGUGGGUGGGAUCUGGAGUUUUAAUAAGGAAUGGGUGUUUGUGUUUGGCGCAAGAGAUACAGUAUUUAAUCAUCUCUAUUUAUGUAUUACUAGAUCAAUCAACGUGCAUUGCACGUAAUGUAAAUUAUCUGUAAUUAUUUUUAUUGUUUUAAUUAAUUUUA